rnacentral:rRNA from 1 species
AGUAACACGUGGAUAACCUACCUAUAAGACUGGGAUAACUUCGGGAAACCGGAGCUAAUACCGGAUAAUAUUUUGAACCGCAUGGUUCAAAAGUAAAAGACUGUCUUGCUGUCACUUAUAGAUGGAUCCGCGCUGCAUUAGCUAGUUGGUAAGGUAACGGCUUACCAAGGCAACGAUGCAUAGCCGACCUGAGAGGGUGAUCGGCCACACUGGAACUGAUACACGGUCCAG